rnacentral:rRNA from 1 species
GAUGAACGCUGGCGGCGUGCCUAAUACAUGCAAGUCGAGCGAACAGACGAGGAGCUUGCUCCUCUGACGUUAGCGGCGGACGGGUGAGUAACACGUGGAUAACCUACCUAUAAGACUGGGAUAACUUCGGGAAACCGGAGCUAAUACCGGAUAAUAUAUUGAACCGCAUGGUUCAAUAGUGAAAGACGGUUUUGCUGUCACUUAUAGAUGGAUCCGCGCCGCAUUAGCUAGUUGGUAAGGUAACGGCUUACCAAGGCAACGAUGCGUAGCCGACCUGAGAGGGUGAUCGGCCACACUGGAACUGAGACACGGUCCAGACUCCUACGGGAGGCAGCAGUAGGGAAUCUUCCGCAAAGGGCGAAAGCCUGACGGAGCAACGCCGCGUGAGUGAUGAAGGUCUUCGGAUCGUAAAACUCUGUUAUUAGGGAAGAACAAAUGUGUAAGUUACUAUGCACGUCUUGACGGUACCUAAUCAGAAAGCCACGGCUAACUACGUG